rnacentral:rRNA from 1 species
UACAGCGGGUGCGAGCGUUAAUCGGAAUUACUGGGUGUAAAGCGCGCGUAGGCGGCUUUGCAAGUCGGGUGUGAAAUCCCCAGGCUUAACCUGGGAACUGCAUUCGAGACUGCAUUGCUAGAGUAUGGGAGAGGGAAGUGGAAUUUCCGGUGUAGCGGUGAAAUGCGUAGAUAUCGGAAGGAACAUCAGUGGCGAAAGCGACUUCCUGGACCAAUACUGACGCUCAUGUGCGAAAGCGUGGGGAGCAAACAGG